AUGCACAAUAUAGCGAAGAUCCUCUGCAAGUUGCUUGCCAACAGGCUAGCCCUGGAGCUCGAUUCCCUUGUCUCUCUUUCCCAGAGCGCCUUCAUUAAGAAGAGAUGUAUUCAGGACAACUUCCUUUAUGUGCACAAUGUCAUUAGAGAGGCUCACACUAAGAAGAAGCCAUUAAUCUUCCUCAAGCUUGACAUUGCAAAAGCGUUUGACUCUGUUGGUUGGGGCUUCUUGUUGGAGACCAUGUCUGCUUUUGGCUUUGGUCGGCGCUGGAGAAACAUUGUGUCUGUCAUCCUGAGUUCUGCUUCCUCAAGAAUUUUGUUAAAUGGCAUCCCUGGUCCGCCCUUCAGGCAUAUGUGUGGCCUUAGAUAG
rnacentral:rRNA from 1 species